UUGCUGGCUUUGAAUAACAAUCCUCAGCCUCCUGAGUGAGGCUGGCAGGCAUGAAAAAGCGAUUGCCACAAUAGGGGACAGAUGUGCAGGCAAUGGAGCAUGCGUGUUUUGUGAGUUAGAAGUUGCUCAGCCUCUGUUGUAACUUUAAAUGGGGGAGGAAAUCAAAGUUUUUCUUAGGUUAUAAUCCUGCUCUGGGGGCAGUUAAUGAUCGGAAUGUCUUAUCAGUGCUUCUUGGCCUCUGACCUUAAAUCCUUACUUAUCUUGGAAAAUAGGAAGUGGAUUUGGUUGCUAUUUUUAUUUCAGGUUGUGUAGAUCGGAUCUGUGAGUCUUGGUCCCCACCGUUUUCAUUUUCCCAGAGGCCCCUCUGCACAGUGUUUGGACUUUCAGGAGCCCAGGAACCACACCAAAACAAUCUGUUCUCACCUUCAAGCUCCAGGCUUUUGGGGUUUGUUUUAUUUUGUUAUCCGCAAAUCUUUGCAUUUUAAAGAAGUUACUGAGUGAUCUGUUCACCUUCUCUUCUGCUUCCCCCAGGGGAAGCUAGAGCUGGGAACAACAUCUUUGCUGGCUUUGGGAAUGUGCUCAGCCUAGCAUAAUUGCUUGUGAGUUGAAGUCAUUCAUUCAUUCUUUCAUCCAUUCUCCAAGUGUUUUGCUGCAUAGGUGCUUUGCACCCUCCAGUUCUUUUUACCUGCAGGGACAUUGGUCAAAAUUGGUGAGACAACAAUUUGGAGGGUGGUAGAGAUGUUUAAGGCCUUUCACGGAUCACUGACUACACUUUCUCUGACACUCUGGGGCAGAAAUCGGCCUUUCCCUUUCUUUGCAGGAUUCCCUUUUGCACAGAUGCUCCCGGAACGCUCAAAAUUAGACGAUUGUAUGAAGUAACACUUUACUCCUUCCUGGAAUCAGAAAGGAUUCCAGGCCAACCUCAGCUUCUUCUUCAUGCAGGAAGUAAUGAAAAUAGUUCUCAGUUUCUCUAGUACAUUUAAAAAAAAAAUCCCACAAUACUCCCUCACAUUAGGACCUAAAAAAAAAAACCACCUCUGGGCUGUCUCUAUUAUUUCCUUUUUUCAGAAGUGCUUUGUGGCCUGGCAAUGAAAAGUAAGAUCCAUAUAGAGUCAGAACUAAGUUUAAAUCCUAGCUCAACCACUUAUUACACCUGGGAUCUUGAGGUAGAUAUUAUUAUUAUUAAUUAUUACUACUAUCAUUAAAAUGUUAAAUAUUAAAUCUUUUUAAAAAUUAUUUUAUCUUUUUGGAAACAUAGUCACACUAUCUAGCCCAAGUUGGCCUUGAGCUGACUACCAAGUGCAGGGAUUAAAGGUAUGCACCAUCAUGCUGGGCUUGAGCAAUUUUGUUUUUUCCCAUAGGUCAUGGGGCUUGAAUUUAGGGCCUUGGUGCUGUCCUUGAGCUCUUUCGCUCAAGGCCAGCAUCCUACACUUGGAGCCACAGCACCACUUCCUGUUUUCUGGUGGUUAAUUAGUGAUAAGAGUCUCACUGACUUUCCUUCCUGGGCUGGCUUUGAACCACAAUCCUCCCAUCUCAGCUUCCUGAGUAGUUAGGGUUCCAAGCAUGAGCUACUGGUGCCCAGCUAUGGGCAGAUGUUACUUAAAUGCUUUUUCUAAGUUCUUUGUAGAUCUUUGGCUGUG